UACACUCCUGCGGGAGGCAGCAGUGGGGAAUAUUGCACAAUGGGCGCAAGCCUGAUGCAGCCAUGCCGCGUGUAUGAAGAAGGCCUUCGGGUUGUAAAGUACUUUCAGCGGGGAGGAAGGCGAUAAGGUUAAUAACCUUGUUGAUUGACGUUACCCGCAGAAGAAGCACCGGCUAACUCCGUGCCAGCAGCCGCGGUAAUACGGAGGGUGCAAGCGUUAAUCGGAAUUACUGGGCGUAAAGCGCACGCAGGCGGUCUGUCAAGUCGGAUGUGAAAUCCCCGGGCUCAACCUGGGAACUGCAUUCGAAACUGGCAGGCUAGAGUCUUGUAGAGGGGGGUAGAAUUCCAGGUGUAGCGGUGAAAUGCGUAGAGAUCUGGAGGAAUACCGGUGGCGAAGGCGGCCCCCUGGACAAAGACUGACGCUCAGGUGCGAAAGCGUGGGGAGCAAACAGGAUUAGAAACCCCUGUAGUCCC
rnacentral:rRNA from 1 species